rnacentral:rRNA from 1 species
GAUGAACGCUGGCGGCGUGCCUAAUACAUGCAAGUCGAGCGAACAGACGAGGAGCUUGCUCCUCUGACGUUAGCGGCGGACGGGUGAGUAACACGUGGAUAACCUACCUAUAAGACUGGGAUAACUUCGGGAAACCGGAGCUAAUACCGGAUAAUAUAUUGAACCGCAUGGUUCAAUAGUGAAAGACGGUUUUGCUGUCACUUAUAGAUGGAUCCGCGCCGCAUUAGCUAGUUGGUAAGGUAACGGCUUACCAAGGCGACGAUGCGUAGCCGACCUGAGAGGGUGAUCGGCCACACUGGAACUGAGACACGGUCCAGACUCCUACGGGAGGCAGCAGUAGGAAAUCUUCCGCAAAGGGCGAAAGCUUGACGGAGCAACGCCGCGUGAGUGAUGAAGGUCUUCGGAUCGUAAAACUCUGUUAUUAGGGAAGAACAAAUGUGUAAGUAACUAUGCACGUCUUGACGGUACCUAAUCAGAAAGCCACGGCUAACUACGUG